rnacentral:rRNA from 1 species
ACGUAGGGGGCAAGCGUUGUCCGGAAUGAUUGGGCGUAAAGGGCGCGUAGGCGGCCUGGUAAGUCUGGGGUGAAAUCCCUCCUCUUAAGGGGGGAACUGCUUGGGAUACUGUCGGGCUUGAGUGCAGGAGAGGUAAGUGGAAUUCCCGGUGUAGGGGUGAAAUGCGUAGAGAUCGGGAGGAACACCAGUGGCGAAGGCGACUUACUGGACUGUAACUGACGCUGAGGCGCGAAAGUGUGGGGAGCAAACAG